UUGUUUGGAAAGUCCAACCCCACCGGAUCCCGAUCCAUUCCACUGGGACGUUCUGGACCGUGCUUUUGCUCCCUUGUUAAAUCCAUGCGGUCUUUUGGAUAUCGAGGAGGCUGAAAUUUCCACAUGCUAUUUUAACCCUAUCCAGGUCAAUCCAUAUGGAGAGAAAAAUACUUCUCCUAACUCGUGACAUUCUCUUCCCGUUCCCUGUCCGCUUACUUGACUCGAUCUCCCUCUUGCUCGUCCUCAAUUGAAGCAGAGGUGAGAACUAGGUGGCUAGGGUUUCGAUGAUGGUGGCCGUGUCCUUCCACUGCCGGCGCACGUGAGCCCCUCUUCGUCGUGGACGCUCGUGCCUCCUCACGUCGACAGCGAACCAGACGAUGCCCAAGAUCUCUCUGUCGGACCUCCCACACUUGUGCAUCCCCACGCCAGCGACGAACCAAACUGUCCCCAAGGUCUCCUCUCCACGCCGACCUCCCCAUGCUCGUGCCUCCCCAUGCCGACCUCGCCUCCACGUCGACCUCGCGGGUGAGAGCCAAGAGCAAAAGUUGUCGGUAUCAUUUUGUGAGAUGCAUCAUUAAGGCUUAAAGCUAUCUGUCUAUCAUUUAGGGCCAACAAAGGACAAAGUGUAGCCAUGUCUAAAGAAGGGUAAAGAGCUUCCUGGAACUUCACUUAUGAGAAAGGACUUGUUGAUCUACUCCAUGAGCACAAUCAUGAAAUGUUCAGGGGCCAGAAUGGUUGGGUAACAGAAGGUUGGAGAAGCAUUGUCAAGAAAUUCAAUGAAAAGUUUCCAUCAGCUGAGUUUACAAAAAGCUAGAUACAAGAAAAGGAGAAGGAACUCAAAGGAAGCUAUAAGGCAAUUCAUGAUGCACGGAAGCAAAGUGGUAUAGGUUGGAAUGCUUUUAUGUGCAUGAUCAAUGCUGAACCACAUAUCUGGGAUAAACUUAUUGUUGACUUUUCAAAGGUGAGGAAAUUUUGCACAAAACCCUUCCCUCUGUAUGACAGCUUGGCACAAUUGUAUGAAGUUAACUUAGGUGCAUUUGUCCACUAUGAAACAAGGAGCAUAUAUUGCUACAGGUGAUAUGAAUUUCACAUCAACUGAGCCAACUGAGUAGCAGCUGCCACCACCAACAGAACAUGUCAACCUAGAUGAUCCUGAUGUUGGCUUGAACCCUUUCUUUGCAAAUAUGGAUGUGCAAAGGGCAUCAAGUGAUACCAUGGAUGUCGAUGAAGUAGAAAAUACCACUUCAUCUUGUUUUGGACAGAAAGGAAGAUGGCCAUGGAAAAAAGAGAAAGCAAAAUCAAGUUGCCGGUGCUCUACAGGACUAUGUCGACUUCAGGAAGAAGCAAACUAAAAAAUUUAUGGAUGAACUUAAUUAAAUAACAAAGCCAAAAGAUGACUAUUCCAUCAAGAACUAUCUUGCUCUUCUAGAAUCAGUUGAAGAACUUUCAGAUGAGGAAAAGGCAAUGGCAACAAGUAUCUUCAAGUGUGAGCUGAAUAGAGAAAUUUUCAUCAAUUUCAAGAACCCAAGAGUUCGUCUACUGUGGGUUAAGGGAGAAAUUGUUCCCAAGGUAUGCAAUCUGAAAACUUAGACUAUUAUUAAUGUUCUCACAAAACUUAGACUUCUUGGAUUUGGACAUGUAUACAUAUUCUUGAGCUAUGAGCUGUGCAGAAACAUCUCAUGUGCUUAACCACUUAAGAUAGUUUUAAUUGUGAGUUCACUUCACAAUUUGAUGAACCAAAAUGGCAAGUUCAUUACCAGCUUUACAUGUCAUGGUGAGAGCAACAGUCUCAGCUGAAUUGUGAUACUUGAUGGGAUUCAGAGGUAGCCUGACUGAACUGUUCUUCAAGGAUGUGUCUAUGACUGUGAUGCAUCUUUAUCAUCCUUUUGUUGCUGAAAAGAAAGGGAUCCUAAUUAUAGCUGUGAAGAAAGGGGGCAACUGAUGAAUCAUGACACCCACAAAUGGGUGUGCUGUUUGCACAAGGAGUGGAGAUAGGGAUUGUGUGGGGAAGAAGAAAGUGCUUCUUUUCUGAAUUGUAACUCAUCUUAGUAGUAUACUCAUACUAGUAUUAGAUUGCUUGAUUGAAAUGUUGCAUGCUUCUUUUCUGAAGUGUCUACUCAUACUAGUAUUAGAUUCAUAACUGUCAUCGUCUAUUUCGA